rnacentral:rRNA from 1 species
GACGAACGCUGGCGGUGUGCUUCACACAUGCAAGUCGAACGAGGUGGCAAUACCUAGUGGCGGACGGGUGAGUAACGCGUGGGAAUCUGCCUUUAGAUGGGGGAUAACGGGCCGAAAGGUCCGCUAAUACCGCAUAUGCCGCAAGGUGAAAGGAGUAAUCCGUCUAAAGAUGAGCCCGCGUCCGAUUAGCUAGUUGGUAGAGUAAGAGCCUACCAAGGCGACGAUCGGUAGCUGGUCUGAGAGGAUGAUCAGCCACAAUGGGACUGAGACACGGCCCAUACUCCUACGGGAGGCAGCAGUGGGGAAUUUUACGCAAUGGGGGAAACCCUGACGUAGCGACACCGCGUGAGCGAAGAAGCCCUUUGGGGUGUAAAGCUCUGUCAGCUGGAACGAAAACAAUGACGGUACCAGCAGAGGAAGCAUCGGCCAACUACGUGCCAGCAGCCGCCGUAA